rnacentral:rRNA from 1 species
UACGGAGGGUGCGAGCGUUAUCCGGAAUGAUUGGGCGUAAAGCGCGUGUAGGCGGCUUUGCAAGUCGGGUGUGAAAGCCCUCAGCUUAACUGAGGAAGUGCGCCCGAAACUGCUUGGCUUGAGUACCGGAGAGGAUGGUGGAAUUCCCGAAGUAGAGGUGAAAUUCGUAGAUAUCGGGAGGAACACCGGUGGCGAAGGCGACCAUCUGGACGGAUACUGACGCUGAGACGCGAAAGCGUGGGUAGCAAACAGG